UUGAACGCUGGCGGCAUGCCUUACACAUGCAAGUCGAACGGCAGCGCGGGGCAACCUGGCGGCGAGUGGCGAACGGGUGAGUAAUAUAUCGGAACGUGCCCAGUAGUGGGGGAUAGCCCGGCGAAAGCCGGAUUAAUACCGCAUGAUACCUGAGGGUGAAAGCGGGGGACUCGCAAGAGCCUCGCGCUACUGGAGCGGCCGAUAUCAGAUUAGGUAGUUGGUGGGGUAAAAGCCUACCAAGCCUGCGAUCUGUAGCUGGUCUGAGAGGACGACCAGCCACACUGGGACUGAGACACGGCCCAGACUCCUACGGGAGGCAGCAGUGGGGAAUUUUGGACAAUGGGCGAAAGCCUGAUCCAGCCAUGCCGCGUGCGGGAAGAAGGCCUUCGGGUUGUAAACCGCUUUUGUCAGGGAAGAAAUCCUUUGAGCUAAUACCUCAGAGGGAUGACGGUACCUGAAGAAUAAGCACCGGCUAACUACGU
rnacentral:rRNA from 1 species